rnacentral:lncRNA from 1 species
CUAAUCCCUCCAAGGGGGCCGGCCUCUUUAGAGAGAAAGGAGAGCUUUGUGUUCUCUCCAAUUUCCUAAAAGAAACUCUUAAUGAAUUUUAGGCUACAAAGUUCUUUAUAUAGUCACUUCUUUAAAUGACCUAAAGAACCAAUAAACCCUAAUUCAACACACAUGGCCGGCCACAUAAGGGAUUUGGGCUUUUGGGCCUUUGUGAAUCUUUAUUCAUUAAAUUGCCAUACAACUUAAGUCAAUGGGCUUGACGUUCGAAGCCCAUUGGGCCUUAAGGUCCAAAACUAUCCCGAGGUC